rnacentral:rRNA from 1 species
ACUGUGAAGGAAAGAUGAAAAGCACUUUGAAAAGAGAGUGAAACAGCACGUGAAAUUGUUGAAAGGGAAGGGUAUUGCGCCCGACAUGGGGAUUGCGCACCGCUGCCUCUCGUGGGCGGCGCUCUGGGCUUUCCCUGGGCCAGCAUCGGUUCUUSCUGCAGGAGAAGGGGUUCUGGAACGUGGCUCUUCGGAGUGUUAUAGCCAGGGCCAGAUGCUGCAGGAGAASGGGUUCUGGMACSUGGSUCUUCGSAGUGUUAUAGCSAGGGCCASCAYGCUSCGUKCGGGGACCGAGRCAGCUGCGGCCSUGYASKCCACGSAUGUGGCAGAACGGCGCAACACCG